AGAGUUUGAUCCUGGCUCAGAGUGAACGCUGGCGGCGUGCUUAACACAUGCAAGUCGAGCGAACUUUGGCAGUGUAUCGCUGAAGUUAGCGGCAGACGGGUGAGUAAUACUUGGGCAAUCUACCUUCAAGUGGGGGACAACCUGCCGAAAGGCGGGCUAAUACCCCAUAAGACCACAGGAUGGCAUCAUCCAGGGGUCAA
rnacentral:rRNA from 1 species